AAACCAUGAUAAGGGCACUAUCUUUGUAGACUCUUGAAUCUAUCCCAUGCUUCAAAUAAUGAUUCUCCAUCUAUCUGAAUAAAGUUUGUGAUAAAAUUCCUCAUAU